UACGUAGGGUCCGAGCGUUGUCCGGAUUUAUUGGGCGUAAAGGGCGCGCAGGCGGCUACGCACGUCCGUUGUGAAAUCGCCCGGCUCAACUGGGCGGGGUCAGCGGAUACGGCGUAGCUGGAGCAAGCUAGGGGGCAAUGGAAUUCCCGGUGUAGUGGUGGAAUGCGUAGAUAUCGGGAGGAACACCAGUGGCGAAGGCGGUUGCCUGGAGCUUUGCUGACGCUGAGGCGCGAAAGCGUGGGGAGCGAGUCCGGA
rnacentral:rRNA from 1 species